CAGCAGAGCCGGUGUUGCCUGUGAGGGGACCGGACUGCAGGGAGGGCAAGCACACACAGCGUGUGUCGAGUAAGAAUGAGAAAGAUGAUGCUGUCAUGAAAACAAUACCUUACAGGAACAAUUCCUUGAACUACUUACAUUUCUCCAGCAGGGAAGACGUCACUCAAUUCAUGGAUACUGAUAUGUGCAGCGGAGAAUGAUGAGGCUAAGCUAUAGUAUGGUUUCCUUUAUUUGCUUGGACACGACUGAAAACUCACUCAUCAGCAAGUAACAAGAAGUUGCAUCUUGGAAUACAGCAUGGAAUCCUC